rnacentral:rRNA from 1 species
UACAGAGGUCUCAAGCGUUGUUCGGAUUCAUUGGGCGUAAAGGGUGCGUAGGCGGCGCGGUAAGUCGGAUGUGAAAUCUCGGGGCUUAACUCCGAAACUGCAUUCGAUACUGUCGUGCUUGAGGACUGGAGAGGAGACUGGAAUUUACGGUGUAGCGGUGAAAUGCGUAGAGUUCGGGGAGGAACAUCAGUGGCGAAGGCGGCCCUCUGGACCAGUACGUGACGCUGAGGCACGG